rnacentral:rRNA from 1 species
CUCGUAGGCGGCCAACUAAGUCGGACGUGAAAUCCCUCGGCUUAACCGGGGAACUGCGUCUGAUACUGGAUGGCUUGAGUUUGGGAGAGGGAUGCGGAAUUCCAGGCGUAGCGGUGAAAUGCGUAGAUAUCUGGAGGAACACCGGUGGCGAAGGCGGCAUCCUGGACCAACACUGACGCUGAGGAGCGAAAGCCAGGGAGCAAACG